GGUUGACCUCGGAUCAGGUAGGAUACC
rnacentral:rRNA from 1 species